GAUGAAGAACGUAGCGAAAUGCGAUACGUAAUGUGAAUUGCAGAAUUCAGUGAAUCAUCGAGUCUUUGAACGCACAUUGCGCCCGCCAGUAUUCUGGCGGGCAUGCCUGUUCGAGCGUCAUUUCAACCAUCAAGCCCCCGGCUUGUGUUGGGGACCUGCGGCUGCCGCAGGCCCUGAAAAGCAGUGGCGGGCUCGCUGUCACACCGAGCGUAGUAGCAUACAUCUCGCUCUGGGCGUGCUGCGGGUUCCGGCCGUUAAACCACCUUCAUAACCCAAGGUUGACCUCGGAUCAGGUAGGAAGACCCGCUGAACUUAAGCAUAUCAAUAAGCGGAGGA
rnacentral:misc_RNA from 1 species